rnacentral:tRNA from 1 species
GGGUCGAUGCUCGAGCGGUUAAUGGGGACGGACUGUAAAUUCGUUGUAGUACCCUACCCCCAGGGGAAGUCGAAUCCCCUCUGAUCUG